GAUAAACGCUGGCGGCGUGCCUAACACAUGCAAGUCGAACGAUCCCGCAAGGGAGAGUGGCGGAAGGGUGAGUAACACGUGGGAAUCUACCUCCUCGCAGGGAACAAACCUCUCGAAAGAGAGGCUAAUACCCAAAAGGGUCAGAAAUGAUCAGAGUCGAAAGGCGUGAGGAGAGGAGCCCGCGGCCCAUCAGCUAGUUGGUGAGGUAAUGGCUUACCAAGGCUACGACGGGUAGGGGAUCUGAGAGGAUGUCCCCCACACUGGAACUGAAACACGGUCCAGACGCCUACGGGUGGCAGCAGUGAGGAAUAUUGGACAAUGGGCGAAAGCCCGAUCCAGCAACGCCGCGUGGAGGAUGAAGGCCUCGGUCGGUAAACGUUACUUUAGUAGGGAGACGAGAAGAACGGUAGUACCCUACGUAAUAAAGACGACGGCGAAACUAACGUA
rnacentral:rRNA from 1 species